rnacentral:rRNA from 1 species
GGCUACCAUGCAGUCGAGCGAGAUCUUCGGAUCUAGCGGCGGACGGGUGAGUAACGCGUGGGAACGUACCCUCUUCUGCGGGAUAGCCACUGGAAACGGUGAGUAAUACCGCAUACGCCCUUCGGGGGAAAGAUUUAUCGGAGGAGGAUCGGCCCGCGUUGGAUUAGGUAGUUGGUGGGGUAAUGGCCUACCAAGCCUACGAUCCAUAGCUGGUUUUAGAGGAUGAUCAGCCACACUGGGACUGAGACACGGCCCAGACUCCUACGGGAGGCAGCAGUGGGGAAUCUUAGACAAUGGGCGCAAGCCUGAUCUAGCCAUGCCGCGUGAGUGACGAAGGCCUUAGGGUCGUAAAGCUCUUUCGCCUGUGAUGAUAAUGACAGUAGCAGGUAAAGAAACCCCGGCUAACUCCGUGCCAGCAGCCGCGGUAAUACGGAGGGGGUUAGCGUUGUUCGGAAUUACUGGGCGUAAAGCGCACGUAGGCGGAUUGGAAAGUAUGGGGUGAAAUCCCAGGGCUCAACCCUGGAACGGCCUCAUAAACUUCCAGUCUGGAGUUCGAGAGAGGUGAGUGGAAUUCCGAGUGUAGAGGUGAAAUUCGUAGAUAUUCGGAGGAACACCAGUGGCGAAGGCGGCUCACUGGCUCGAUACUGACGCUGAGGUGCGAAAGUGUGGGGAGCAAACAGGAUUAGAUACCCUGGUAGUCCACAC